GGCUCGGUAGCUCAGUUGGAUAGAGCCUAAGCUUCCGGAGCUUAUGGUCGGGGGUUCAAAUCCCUUCCGAGUCG
rnacentral:tRNA from 1 species